GUUAAGCGACUAAGCGUACACGGUGGAUGCCCUGGCAGUCAGAGGCGAUGAAGGACGUGCUAAUCUGCGAUAAGCGUCGGUAAGGUGAUAUGAACCGUUAUAACCGGCGAUUUCCGAAUGGGGAAACCCAGUGUGUUUCGACACACUAUCAUUAACUGAAUCCAUAGGUUAAUGAGGCGAACCGGGGGAACUGAAACAUCUAAGUACCCCGAGGAAAAGAAAUCAACCGAGAUUCCCCCAGUAGCGGCGAGCGAACGGGGAGCAGCCCAGAGCCUGAAUCAGUGUGUGUGUUAGUGGAAGCGUCUGGAAAGGCGCGCGAUACAGGGUGACAGCCCCGUACACAAAAAUGCACAUGCUGUGAGCUCGAUGAGUAGGGCGGGACACGUGGUAUCCUGUCUGAAUAUGGGGGGACCAUCCUCCAAGGCUAAAUACUCCUGACUGACCGAUAGUGAACCAGUACCGUGAGGGAAAGGCGAAAAGAACCCCGGCGAGGGGAGUGAAAAAGAACCUGAAACCGUGUACGUACAAGCAGUGGGAGCACGCUUAGGCGUGUGACU
rnacentral:rRNA from 1 species